UACGGGGGGGGCAAGCGUUGUUCGGAAUUACUGGGCGUAAAGGGCUCGUAGGUGGCCAACUAAGUCAGACGUGAAAUCCCUCGGCUUAACCGGGGAACUGCAUCUGAUACUGGAUGGCUUGAGAUUGGGAGAGGGAUGCGGAAUUCCAGGUGUAGCGGUGAAAUGCGUAGAUAUCUGGAGGAAUACCGGUGGCGAAGGCGGCAUCCUGGACCGACAUUGACGCUGAACGACGAAAGCUAGGGGAGCAAACGGG
rnacentral:rRNA from 1 species